rnacentral:lncRNA from 1 species
CUGCUCUGGAAGAAAGACACACCACUGUCACAGAUGUAUGGGGACAGAUUAAGCUCCAGAUGGAAUACUGUCGGUGUCAAUCAGUCACUGUUCUUGCAGCCUGGCCGGCUUUCAUCAAAGUAACCACAGAGGAGGAUUCUGCAACUCACAACCUCUUAAAGCUUUGUAUGGACCGGAGGUGAAGCUCUCCUGUCAUCCUCAGCAUUCCCCUCCAAACGCUUGUUUAUGUCCCACCCCUGCUAAUUCAUACAUAGUAUCUUUUUAUUGUAUUCAUCCUUAAGUGUCUCUUCCAUUUCCAAGUGACUGUUCAAUAUUCCGCAGAAUGUUCCAGCUCUUCAGUGAGCUAUACAUUAUUGUGACAUCAGUUGUCCCAUAAAGUGACAAAAUCUGGAUCAAAUACAGGUCUUAUUGUCAGAAGAGAGGAGAUAAGAUGAAGAAUUGAUCUACAAGUUUCAGCCAGUUUGUUUUAUGUUCCCAUUAUGACACACGUUUGGUUCAUGGCCAGUGACUCUGUGCCUCACUUUCAGACUGAUUGGAUACCACGCAGGCACAGGAAAAGAACAUGUGAAGGAUCCUAUCAGCCUAAAGAAUCACUGUCAGGUGAAGAGUCUAUAAACAUUUCCCAACGUUCAUGGAAAGUUUGAGUCUUCACAGCACCAUCCCAGGACUGUACAGAACGCACCUCACUACUGUGCUUGUAAUUGACAAAAGGGUGACAAAAUUUACCAGACCUGCCCCCAACGGCUGAGCAAUGCCCUGAAGGCACUACUUCUCACCCAAGCCCAUGCAUAGGCUGAGAGGUCU